rnacentral:rRNA from 1 species
GGACGAACGCUGGCGGCGUGCCUAACACAUGCAAGUCGAGCGGAGACAGUGAGUAGCUUGCUAUGAGCUGUUUUAGCGGCGGACGGGUGAGUAACGCGUGAGCAACCUUUCCCAGACAGGGGAAUAACACACCGAAAGGUGUACUAAUACCGCAUAAGACCACGGGAUCACAUGGUUCUGGGGUAAAAGAUUUAUCGGUUUGGGGUGGGCUCGCGUCCGAUUAGGUAGUUGGUGAGGUAACGGCCCACCAAGCCGACGAUCGGUAGCCGACCUGAGAGGGUGACCGGCCACAUUGGGACUGAGACACGGCCCAAACUCCUACGGGAGGCAGCAGUGGGGAAUAUUGCACAAUGGGCGCAAGCCUGAUGCAGCAACGCCGCGUGGAGGAAGACGGUUUUCGGAUUGUAAACUCCUGUUCUUAGUGAAGAAUAAUGACGGUAGCUAAGGAGCAAGCCACGGCUAACUACGUG